rnacentral:rRNA from 1 species
UAGGGAAUCUUCGGCAAUGGACGAAAGUCUGACCGAGCAACGCCGCGUGAGUGAAGAAGGUUUUCGGAUCGUAAAACUCUGUUGUUAGAGAAGAACAAGGACGUUAGUAACUGAACGUCCCCUGACGGUAUCUAACCAGAAAGCCACGGCUAACUACGUGCCAGCAGCCGCGGUAAUACGUAGGUGGCAAGCGUUGUCCGGAUUUAUUGGGCGUAAAGCGAGCGCAGGCGGUUUCUUAAGUCUGAUGUGAAAGCCCCCGGCUCAACCGGGGAGGGUCAGUGGAAACUGGGAGACUGGAGUGCAGAAGAGGAGGGUGGAAUUCCAGGUGUAGCGGUGAAAGGCGUAGAUAGAUGGAGGAACACCGGUGGCGAAGGCGGCUCUCUGGUCUGUAACUGACGCGGAGGCAAGGAGGCGUGGGGAGCAAACAGG